rnacentral:rRNA from 1 species
UACGUAGGGCGCAAGCGUUGUCCGGAAUUAUUGGGCGUAAAGAGCUCGUAGGCGGCCUGUUGCGUCCGCUGUGAAAUCCCGGGGCUUAACCCCGGGUCUGCAGUGGAUACGGGCUGGCUAGAGGCAGGCAGGGGAGAACGGAAUUCCCGGUGUAGCGGUGAAAUGCGCAGAUAUCAGGAGGAACACCGGUGGCGAAGGCGGGUCUCUGGGCAGUAACUGACGCUGAGGAGCGAAAGCGUGGGGAGCGAACAGG